AAGGGCUUAUGACCAGACUUGUGCCGGGCUGAUCAUCCACGGUUCUCCGUGGUGCACUCUGCCCGGCUCAGGCCAGCGUCGGUUCUGGCAGGGGGACAAAAGCUUAGGGAACGUGGCUCCUCCGGGAGUGUUAUAGCCCUUUGCUCAAUACCCCUGCCGGGACCGAGGUUCGCGCUCUGCAAGGACGCUGGCAUAAUGGUCAUCAGCCA
rnacentral:rRNA from 1 species